GAUCCUGGCUUAGGACGAACGCUGGCGGUGUGCCUCAUACAUGCAAGUCGAACGAGAAGCUAUCUUCGGAUAGUGGAAAGUGGCGGACGGGUGAGUAAUAUGUAGGAAAUCUGCCCUAGAGAGGGGGACAACAGAGGGAAACUUCUGCUAAUACCCCAUACGAGCUUGGUUGAAAUACCAAUCUUGAAAACUCCGGUGCUCUAGGAUGAGCCUGCAUCUGAUUAGCUAGUUGGUGGUGUAAUGGACCACAAAGGCGACGAUCAGUAGCUGGUUUGAGAGGAUGAUCAGCCACAAUGGGACUGAGACACGGCCCAUACUCCUACGGGAGGCAGCAGUAGGGAAUUUUGCGCAAUGGGGGAAACCCUGACGCAGCAACACCGCGUGAAUGUUAAGCCCUUCGGGGUAUAAAGUUCUGUCAAUGGGGAAGAAUAAAUGACUGUACCCAUAAAGGAAGCACCGGCUAACUCCGUGCCAGCCGCGGC
rnacentral:rRNA from 1 species